rnacentral:rRNA from 1 species
GACGAACGCUGGCGGCGUGCUUAACACAUGCAAGUCGAACGGAAAGGCCCUUCGGGGUACUCGAGUGGCGAACGGGUGAGUAACACGUGGGUGAUCUGCCCUGCACUUUGGGAUAAGCCUGGGAAACUGGGUCUAAUACCGAAUAUGAUCGUCGGCUUCAUGGCCGGUGGUGGAAAGCUUUUGCGGUGUGGGAUGGGCCCGCGGCCUAUCAGCUUGUUGGUGGGGUAAUGGCCUACCAAGGCGACGACGGGUAGCCGGCCUGAGAGGGUGACCGGCCACACUGGGACUGAGAUACGGCCCAGACUCCUACGGGAGGCAGCAGUGGGGAAUAUUGCACAAUGGGCGCAAGCCUGAUGCAGCGACGCCGCGUGAGGGAUGACGGCCUUCGGGUUGUAAACCUCUUUCAGCAGGGACGAAGCGCAAGUGACGGUACCUGUAGAAGAAGGACCGGCCAACUACGUGCCAGCAGCCGCGGUAAUACGUAGGGUCCGAGCGUUGUCCGGAAUUACUGGGCGUAAAGAGCUCGUAGGUGGUUUGUCGCGUUGUUCGUGAAAACUCACAGCUCAACUGUGGGCGUGCGGGCGAUACGGGCAGACUUGAGUACUGCAGGGGAGACUGGAAUUCCUGGUGUAGCGGUGGAAUGCGCAGAUAUCAGGAGGAACACCGGUGGCGAAGGCGGGUCUCUGGGCAGUAACUGACGCUGAGGAGCGAAAGCGUGGGGAGCGAACAGGAUUAGAUACCCUGGUAGUCCACGCCGUAAACGGUGGGUACUAGGUGUGGGUUUCCUUCCUUGGGAUCCGUGCCGUAGCUAACGCAUUAAGUACCCCGCCUGGGGAGUACGGCCGCAAGGCUAAAACUCAAAGAAAUUGACGGGGGCCCGCACAAGCGGCGGAGCAUGUGGAUUAAUUCGAUGCAACGCGAAGAACCUUACCUGGGUUUGACAUGCACAGGACGCCGGCAGAGAUGUCGGUUCCCUUGUGGCCUGUGUGCAGGUGGUGCAUGGCUGUCGUCAGCUCGUGUCGUGAGAUGUUGGGUUAAGUCCCGCAACGAGCGCAACCCUUGUCUCAUGUUGCCAGCGGGUAAUGCCGGGGACUCGUGAGAGACUGCCGGGGUCAACUCGGAGGAAGGUGGGGAUGACGUCAAGUCAUCAUGCCCCUUAUGUCCAGGGCUUCACACAUGCUACAAUGGCCGGUACAAAGGGCUGCGAUGCCGUGAGGUGGAGCGAAUCCUUUCAAAGCCGGUCUCAGUUCGGAUCGGGGUCUGCAACUCGACCCCGUGAAGUCGGAGUCGCUAGUAAUCGCAGAUCAGCAACGCUGCGGUGAAUACGUUCCCGGGCCU